rnacentral:lncRNA from 1 species
CACCUGUCCUAGUUACCUGGAUCCUUUUUUUUUUUAAUUUCUAGAAUGCAAGAGGGGUUUUGUUAGAGCUUCUGAAACUCUCACUGAUGCACAGCAUCAAAACUACUGAUCUCACAGAGACCUCCAACAUGACAGUCCAAACCCAAGGAAGCAAAGACCAGCACUCACCAAGCAGAGGUGCACCUGCAUCUGGCCAUCUGAACCUGACAGGGGAUGCUGAGGGCAGAAGACAUUGGACAUCAGCGCCUGAGAAAUGCCCAGCAGACACUGGCACUGUGUGGUGACAGGAUGGCAUGGAUGGACAGAUGGUCAUAAAAUUCAGUUCCUUUAAGUAAACACAGAUAUCUAGAUUCUUAUUUUGAAAUCUACUAAGGACACGUUAAGCACACACACAAAUGGAGAGAAGAGUACAGGGAAGUCCCGUUCCCUGCACUCAGCCAUAGCCUUGAAGCUCUCCAGUCUUGAUGUACCUCCUUCCCUACCCAGAACCACACUGGGUCUUUUUGAAAAAAAUUCCAAACAAGAUGUUAUUUCAUCUGUUGAUAAUUAUUUUUGAGGAUGUCAGUGCUGCUCUUCUUUAAAGAGAGAGUGCAAGCUCUGGUGUAUGUUUUUUGUUGACUGUUCAGCACCUCUCAGACUCUCCUAACAGCCCCUGCUCAGGCUGAGAAGUCCCUAUGGAAGGAGAUCUAUUUCACAUUCUUCUGGCUGUUUUCAGGGCAAUUUUGUUCAUUCUAAAUUGUGCUCUCACUCUUGCAAAGAAACCCCAGCUCAGAUGAAAAAAUUGUCAAUGGUGAUCAUUUGUACCUCCAAAUCCUCCCUUUUCCCCUAGUGAUUCUGACUUCCCCUUUGAAGAAGGGGAGGAAAAUGGGGACCAGAAAUUCGAAUGGCUAGUGCGCCAUCUGCAGGCUAUUUGCUUGAAUAACAGGAAAGACCAACAUGACGACAGAAUAGGGUGUAUUUCCUUCAGAUAAUUUCCCUUGGAGCAGUCAGAGCAACAGGAAACAGGACACUAGCAGAGGUCUGGUCACAUGUUCACUUUUCCACUUUCCUUCAUUUGUCAUCAUCGUUUAGUUUAGUCACUUCCUUCCCAGAUGUGGGUUUUCCAUUCUCUUUGUCAGAAACACUACCUGCUCUUGGCUUAUCUCUAAGACUUCAGGCUUUUUAUGAGAAAGCUGCUGACAGAGGCUGCUGGGUAGACAGAGCCCAUCUUUAGUGCAAGAAGCAGAAACACUUGCUCAGUAUUGUAGAUAGAACUACACUACAAAGAAAGUACUAAAGAAAUAUCUCAGGUUGAAAGAAAUCAUACCAGAUGGAGACCUGAACCAACAGAUAGGAAAAAUAAUAUGAGAAAUGUUAAGUCUAUUGGGAGAAAAAAUACUCUUUUUAUCUUAGUUUCUUUAAAAUGCAAAUGAACAAUAUUAACCAUUUUGCCCUAAUUGACCACUACAGAACACAACAACUAUAUGUCACUUUAUAUUUCUUUUUAACAGAUACAUAAAAACAUAAAAAUUAGACAUAUUUAUGGGGUACCAUAUGAUGUUUCUAUGCAUAAUGUGUAUAUACAUAUACAUUAUGUAAUGUUUAUAUCAGGUUAAACAUUUCCUCAUCAAUUUUUUUUCUUUUUGAUGGUACUGAGGACUGAACCCAGAAGCACUUUACCACUGAAGUACAUUCCCAGCCCCAGCCUUUUUUUUUUUUCCCACCUGAGACAAGAUCUCACUAAAUUCCAGAGGCUGGCCUCAAACUCAUGAUCCUCCUACCUCAGUCUCCUGAAUGGCAUGUGCCAUCUUGUCUGGCUUUAAAAGAAAAAAUUUUCAUUUUUUUUCCUCAGUGCCUCAUACACUCUAUCAGUGAGCUAAAUCCCAGAACUCAUUUUUUUUAUAGUGAAAACAUUCAAAAUCUUUCUUCUGGUUUAAAAAAUAUACAAUAAAGCCAAGCAUGGUGAUACUGAGGCAGGAGGAUCACAAGUUUGAGGCCAGCCUCAGCAACUUAGUGAGUUCCUGCUCAAAAUAAAAGAUAAAAAGGACUGGGGAUGUAGCUCAGGGUAAAGGUCCCUGGUUUAAUCCCCAAUACCAAGAAAAAGUAUUUUUUCACUGCUAUGACCAAGAGACCUGACAAGAACAAUUUUAGAGAAGGAAAAGUUUAUUUGACACCUUCAGUUUUAGAGGUCACAGUCCAUAGACAGGCAGCUCCACUGCUCUGAGCCCAAGAUAAGGCAGAAUAGCAUGGCAAAUGAGUGUGGAGGAGGACAUGGAACCAAAAAGCAGAGAGAAAGAGUUCCCCUCAUCAGAGGAAAAAUAUAAACCCCAAAGAUACACUCCGAGGGGCCUACCUCCUCCAGCCACACCCUAUCUCCCUUACUUACCAUCCAACUAAUCCCUAUCAGGGAAUGAAUGCCUGCAUUAGGUUAAGAGUCUCAUAACCCAAUCAUUUUACCUCUAAACUUUCUUGCAUUGACUCACACAUGAGCUUUUGGUGGACACCUAAUAUCUAAACCUAUGUAAAAUAAAUUAUAUUGUUAAA